UCCAGCUUCAUCUUCACUGUCUAUACCAGUCAUGUUCAAUGACUUAUAAAAAGCAGUGAUACUCUUCUAGUCCAAUAAAAUCUUGCACAAGCACAGAGAAAAGAGGGCGGGUGGGUCAUUGUUUCAGAGGGGGAAGGGCUGACCAUUUUCUUAGGGCCUCUCUUUCCCCACGCAGAGAGUGGUGAGGCCUGAUGAGGCACCUUUGCUCUGAAUCCCAAGCAUCUGAAAACCCCUUGUCCCAUCUAGGUGAAAGGAUGGAGGGAGGGAGGGAAGAAAUAGAGGAAUGAAGGGAGGGAGGAAAGAAUGUUGCUUUUCAUUGCCACUUGCACAGGAUUCUUGUGGGAGCCAGUAGGGAAGUUGCUAUUUUGAAUCGGAUAAAUUGGGGCUUCCUCUUCUUGUUCAUCAAGACCACUCUUUGGCUCAUUUCAUCCCAAUAAAACAAACCACGACACACUACCAGACUGAAGAGACCGUACAGUGCACUUUUAAGUGUCUGGGCUCCAAACCAAACUGCCUGGGUUUGAAUCCUGGCCCUGCUACUUAUCACUGUGUGAUACUGGACAAGUUACUUAACCUUUCUGUGCCUGUUUUCUCAUCUGCAGAAAUAGGUGCUGAUAGUACCUACCUCAUGGGAGUGUUGUGAGGAGAAAAUGUGUUAGCAUGGGUACGACGUUUAGAAUGGCAUUUGCCACAUGGUCUGGGAAUAAAUGUCAGCUGUCAUUAUGCUGUGGGUAUAUAAAUACACUACUCCUUGCAAUAUCAGUUUUUGCCCACACAAUUUCCAGCCCUCUGCCCUCAGGUGAGCCAGCCUGUCUCAUCUCAGGGCCUCAUGGUGGCUUAGCUCACUCAGCAGUGGGAGCAGGUGGCUGAGCUGCAGUCAGGGUUCUGUGAACGCGGUGGGUUGAGGAGGGAAAGGAAUGAGGUUUGGAGUCCUUUUGUUGUUUUGCUUGGGUCAGAAGGAAUCUGUGGUAGCAUGCAGUCAUGAUCUUAUUUUACAGCUGCAGGAUGUUGGUAGACAAACUUCUCCCUAAUCUAUAUGAUCUAUAAGCCCAAACGGCCUUUAAUAGGGGGCGGUCACAGGAGGUCAGUGGCCUCCUCCUUCACAGCAGCUAUGUGAUGUGGCUGAGCUCUGAGAAAGAGCACUUGGCUGUGGUGCAACUGGCCUAGAAUUCAUAGCCCCAUUCUCUUGAUCUGAGUUGCUUCUGGGGGAUGAGCGUGGCACCACAGCGUCUCAGGUGCUAUAUAGGGGACUUCCCAAGAGUUGCCCGUAUCGGUUGUAAGGUGCUGUCUACAUGAGGGGAUGGUUUUAUGAAUACACAAGGGAGAGUUACCAGCAGAGUGAUGGCGAAAGCUUUGAGCUAGAUGGUUUUCAUCUUCCUGAAACAUCGCCCUAGGGUUUUCCUGAUGUUUCCAUCAAUCUGUUAAGUGCAGUGUGUGGUCGUGUCCCUCAGGGACUUUCCCAUUUACUCUGGAAGACCAAACUUAUAGGCUACACUCUGGGUGCAGACAGUGCUAGUCCUGUGGGGAGUUGGGAAAAAGGAGUGGGAGGCUUUGUGGCCGAGGAGGGGCUUCAGGGCAGCAAGGAUGACGGCUGGGUUUGAACAGUCAGUGGAGAAGGAAGUGUGGAAAGGCCAGAGAAGUAGACAUGGAUGUGUGCAUGCCAGAGAGGGCAGGCAGACAGGGUUCAUGGAGGGGGCAGAAGCAGCACAUUGACCUCUGCUUCUGCCAGAAGAUCAGAGGGGAUAUCGGGGGGGUGGUCUGGCCAGAGUAAGGGCAGCCUUGAAGCCCCGAUGGAAUAAUUUUGACUUGAUUCUAUGGAAAAUGACAUACGACAGUGUAGGAGGGCUUGUCUUCUAACUGAAACCAGCUGGGAAUCUUUCCCAGUAGAGUCAAGGGCAGGGCAGAGCGAGGGCCUUUGGCAGCAUGUGCAAAUGUACAUGCAUGUAACCAUUGUGUGUGGCCCACCAUGCUUUUAAACCUACCUUUACCUCCUCUAGUUCUUCAUAUCUCUUAACCCUCUUGUCUGUGAGCAUCAACAAUCCGGGGCUUACACAGACAACACCACAGUGUGCCAUCUUGCCAGAAGGAGAAACUGAGGCACUCUAUUCUAAAGAGGCUGGUUCUAGGACCUGCCCUUGAAUCACUGUGGAGUAAGACCCAGAGUGUGGGCUGCCAGGCCCCUUCCUUCAGGGAUCUGGCUUCUAAAGUUGGUUCUUUUCCUGUAUCUCAUAAAGAGGGAAAGGAUGGGCCUAAGAGAGGUUAUUUGGACAAAUGGCCAUUGUAAUUGCCUCCUAUCAGACACAGGUGGAUAGAGGCAGGUGUGGGGAAGAGGGCUGCCUGGAUCUGGGAUUCCCAAUCCCCCAUACUCCUUGGCCUAUUGUUGAGGGGGAGCUAGAGGAGGGGUGCGGACUUAGCAGGUUAAGAAAGAUAAACGCUUACUCUUUAACAGUGGGAAAGAGGGACGGAAGAGUAAGAUUGAAAUCUGAGGCAAGAGGAGUGGCCUAACCUGGUGGAGGCAGGAGAGGCGCGUGUCCUCUACAUGCCCGUCCAAGUCCCUGGUAGGUUCGUCCUUGCUCUGAGGGAAGAGUGUGGGCCACAGGCCAUGGGGACACUCUGAGGAUGUGGGUGCUGCCCAUCUUGAAGUUUCUCCCCACCCCUCUCCGGAGCUGCUACCAUUGUCCUUUGCCCUCGGAGUGCUCUCCUCCCACCCCCGCCGCCUCUUGUUCUCUUUCUCCCUUGAGCCGUUAGAAUGGCAGGGAGCCCAGCCAGGGCCUGGACGGCGGCCUCAGCUCCCUGUUCUCAAUAAUUGUGUGUGUGUGCAUGUGUGCAUGUGUACGUGUGAGUGCCUGUGUGUGUGCAUUGUGUGUAGGGGCUGGGGCUGGAGUCGACAACAGAUCAGAGCACAGGAGUAGAGCGCUUCUGGGAGGGUGGGGCCACCCGUGAGUCACGUCCUGCACCCUGGAGCCCAGAGGACCCUUCGCUCAAACCCACCACCAGCUGGCAACACCGGACCAGACCAGCCGGAGCCGCUUUCUUCGCUGCGCAGAGGAGCCUGGGAGAAGCCAGAGGUGUAAGUCAAGCUGUGGAGGGACUGGGUGUGGCUGAGCCCCGUGACAAGUGGGAGGAGCCAGGGAUGCUUGGGAGGGGAGGCACUGUGCGCGAGAGAGGAGGGAAAGGGGAAGCGUUCGUGCCUCUCUGCCCCCUGUCCCCCUCUUGCUGCAUAGUAGCCACAUCCAUGUCUCUUGUACCCUGCAAUCUGGAGGCCACUGCCAGAAGCUGGAAAUCUCAAGUAGAGCAGCAAAAGGUAUGAGGAUUGACACAAAGUUGUGGCCGAUGGAGGCUCCCCAAAGUGCAUGGAAGGUGGUGAUCCAGUGUCUAAAGGCAGGAGUACUGGGGCAACCCCAUAGCUGGGGGUCCUAUGGGAGAGACUGAGGAACUUCGGUUUGUGGACUCUCAGUCAACUGUGUUACUGAGGAGGGGAAAGGAAAGUAGAUGAGUUGGUGGUUUGAACAAGACCCAAAUCUUGCUUCUACUUAUAGGUGCUCACAAUGGCCAGUGCCCUGGAAAAGCUCUGGAAUAAAUACACCUGGGCCUUAGAAAGCAGAGGCAGGAGACAAUGCCAUCCAGUGGGAGCUUUCAUUUGUUUCCUCAGCCAGCCUCUGUGUCAGGCUUUUUGGGAACAAGGGCUGGAUGAACAAGACCUUGGGAGUUCCUGUGGGGAGGGACUGGGGGUGAAUGGGCAGUGUGGCUGGCCCGGUGAUCACUUCUCCUCUGCUUGUCUAGGCUUGAGGAUGGAUUCUUGGCUCCUGGUGCAUUGCCACUCCCUGCCACCCUCCUCCUUGUCUUCUAUCUUCUCCUGGUGGCGUCAGGCCUUGCUUCGUGUCCCAACAGGAGCCUCUGGGGCUGGCACAGCCCUCACUGCCUACAACCUGGGCCUGGUGGUUCUCCUAGGGUGCCUCUGGGAGGUCAUGGUCACCCCGCUGCUGGCUAACUGCAGCUACUUCUGCCAGCCAGUGGACUACAGAUGGAGAAAGCAUGGAAUGAGGGCAUCUUCCUGGAGACAGGAAGGUAGGCACUGUGGAAUCAGCGGUGCGUAGAACAGUGAGGAUUUGGGGCUGAACCCAGCCCAGGUGGGCCAAGCCGUGGCACCAGCCGGACUGCAGUCUGAUGGAACUUCCCCUUCCUGCCCAGCAGAUGGCGAGCGUGUGCUGCUGGUGCCUCUUUCCAAAGGACGUUGAAUUGCUUGACAGCCCUGCCCAGCAUCUAGAAGACCACCUGAAGCUUUCACACUUUGAGACCUUAGAUCCUGCGAGGGUUUGAAUUUCAAAAGCUUCAAUUAAAGCACACAGUGUUCUUUACUUUAUGAAUGAAGCCAGAGCAGCCCACCUUCCUGCAUCUCUACCACCAUGGCACCAUGCCCUGUGAUGGGUGGGCUGGAGUCAAAUAUGUAGCAGGCAGCCAGGGUCAGUUUGUGGCCACUGCUGCCCCCUCUUCCUACAGUCUCCUCACUGAGUGCCCCUUCCCUGUUGGGUUCAACACAUCUGUGCUCCUGUAAGCCCUCAGCCUCCUCGUUCUCUUCCUCAACUUCUACCACCAGACACAUCUGAGAAGCAAGCAAGAGAGGCUGAACUAGGAGCAGGACCCAGGGACUGAAACCAGCACAGCAUCCCCACAGAGAAUUGGGUGGAAGGCAGCAUGGCUUCCAGCUUACUGGUGCUGAGCAGAUUGCUCUGGGUCUCCAUUGUAUCCUCUGAAGGAAGGAGGAGGAUUGCCUUCUGUCCAGAUCUCAGGAUCAAACAAAUAGGUCCAAUUUCCUGUGCUCACUUCAGUUAGAGCACUUCUCAUGUGACUUUGUAGCUUUGUGUGCAUCUCCUUCCUCUACUAGACCUAAGCCCCUCACGGGAGGGACUCUCUUAUUCUUGAUGUUCCCCACACCUGGAAUUUCAAUAAACAUCUCAAUAAA
rnacentral:lncRNA from 1 species